rnacentral:rRNA from 1 species
UAGGGAAUCUUCGGCAAUGGGGGGAACCCUGACCGAGCAACGCCGCGUGAGUGAAGAAGGUUUUCGGAUCGUAAAGCUCUGUUGUUAAGGAAGAACGAGUGUGAGAAUGGAAAGUUCAUGCUGUGACGGUACUUAACCAGAAAGCCACGGCUAACUACGUGCCAGCAGCCGCGGUAAUACGUAGGUGGCAAGCGUUAUCCGGAAUUAUUGGGCGUAAAGCGCGCGUAGGCGGUUUUUUAAGUCUGAUGUGAAAGCCCACGGCUCAACCGUGGAGGGUCAUUGGAAACUGGAAAACUUGAGUGCAGAAGAGGAAAGUGGAAUUCCAUGUGUAGCGGUGAAAUGCGCAGAGAUAUGGAGGAACACCAGUGGCGAAGGCGACUUUCUGGUCUGUAACUGACGCUGAUGUGCGAAAGCGUGGGGAUCAAACAGG